AGCGGUCCGGCCGGGAACUCAAAGGAGACUGCCAGUGAUAAACUGGAGGAAGGUGGGGAUGACGUCAAGUCAUCAUGGCCCUUACGACCAGGGCUACACACGUGCUACAAUGGCGCAUACAAAGAGAAGCGACCUCGCGAGAGCAAGCGGACCUCAUAAAGUGCGUCGUAGUCCGGAUUGGAGUCUGCAACUCGACUCCAUGAAGUCGGAAUCGCUAGUAAUCGUGGAUCAGAAUGCCACGGUGAAUACGUUCCCGGGCCUUGUACACACCGCCCGUCACACCAUGGGAGUGGGUUGCAAAAGAAGUAGGUAGCUUAACCUUCGGGAGGGCGCUUACCACUUUGUGAUUCAUGACUGGGGUGAAGUCGUAACAAGGUAACCGUAGGGGAACCUGC
rnacentral:rRNA from 3 species